AACGAACGCUGGCGGCAUGCCUAACACAUGCAAGUCGAACGAGACCUUCGGGUCUAGUGGCGCACGGGUGCGUAACGCGUGGGAACCUGCCCUUAGGUUCGGAAUAACUCCCCGAAAGGGGUGCUAAUACCGGAUAAUUUCUUCGGACCAAGGAUUUAUCGCCUUUGGAUGGGCCCGCGUUGGAUUAGCUAGUUGGUAGGGUAAAAGCCUACCACGGCGACGAUCCAUAGCUGGUCUGAGAGGAUGCUCAGCCACACUGGGACUGAGACACGGCCCAGACUCCUGCGGGAGGCAGCAGUGGGGAAUAUUGGACAAUGGGCGAAAGGCUGAUCCAGCAAUGCCGCGUGAGUGAUGAAGGCGUUAGGGUUGUAAAGCUCUUUUACCCGGGAUGAUAAUGACAGUACCGGGAGAAUAAGCACCGGCUAACUCCGUG
rnacentral:rRNA from 1 species